CGAAGCAGGACCCGAAGCCUAAAUUCCAGGAGGGUGAGCGAGUGCUGUGCUUUCAUGGGCCUCUUCUUUAUGAAGCAAAGUGUGUAAAGGUUGCCAUAAAGGACAAACAAGUGAAAUACUUCAUACAUUACAGUGGUUGGAAUAAAAAUUGGGAUGAGUGGGUUCCGGAGAGCAGAGUACUCAAAUACGUGGACACCAAUUUGCAGAAACAGCGAGAACUUCAAAAAGCCAAUCAGGAGCAGUAUGCAGAGGGGAAGAUGAGAGGGGCUGCCCCAGGAAAGAAGACAUCUGGUCUGCAACAGAAAAAUGUUGAAGUUACGAAUUGGAGCAAUGUUGGCUUAUACACCUCUGGAUGAGAAGAGCCUUGCUUUAUUACUCAAUUAUCUUCACGAUUUCCUAAAGUACCUGGCAAAGAAUUCUGCAACUUUGUUCAGUGCCAGCGAUUAUGAAGUGGCUCCUCCUGAGUACCAUCGGAAAGCUGUGUGAGAGGCACUCUCACUCACUUAUGUUUGGAUCUCCGUAAACACAUUUUUGUUCUUAGUCUAUCUCUUGUACAAACGAUGUGCUUUGAAGAUGUUAGUGUAUAACAAUUGAUGUUUGUUUUCUGUUUGAUUUUAAACAGAGAAAAUAAAAGGGGGUAAUAGCUCCUUUUUUCUUUUCUUUCUUUUUUUUUUUUUUUCAUUUCAAAGUUGCUGCCAGUGUUUUCAAUGAUGGACAACAGAGGGAUAUGCUGUAGAGUGUUUUAUUGCCUAGUUGACAAAGCUGCUUUUGAAUGCUGGUGGUUCUAUUCCUUUGACACUACGCACUUUUAUAAUACAUGUUAAUGCUAUAUGACAAAAUGCUCUGAUUCCUAGUGCCAAAGGUUCAAUUCAGUGUAUAUAACUGAACACACUCAUCCAUUUGUGCUUUUUUUUUUUUUUAUGGUGCUUAAAGUAAA
rnacentral:sRNA from 1 species